UACGGAGGAUCCAAGCGUUAUCCGGAUUUAUUGGGUUUAAAAAGUGCGUAGAUGGCUUAUUAAGUCAGGGGUGAAAGACGGUAGCUUAACUAUCGCAGUGCCUUUGAUACUGAUGAGCUUGAAUGAACUAAAAAUAAACGGAAUGUGACAAGUAGCGGUGAAAUGCAUAGAUAUGUCACAGAACACCAAUUGCGAAGGCAGCUUACUAUGGUUAGAUUGACACUGAGGCACGAAAGCGUGGGGAUCAAACAGG
rnacentral:rRNA from 1 species